UGAGAUUAAUUAGGACCAAUUUAAGGAGAAAAAUCAAUGAAUAUAACUUUUGUUAAACUUUUUCAUAUACAUAAAAUCCCUGCAACAUAAGCCAUCUAAUGAGUUGAAAAUGUCUUCUAAUACUCAGUCAACUAUCACAAAUAUCAGAUAUCAGAUAUAUAAAUAAAGUCUAACUGAAAUUUAUGAGAAAAAAAAACUUAAGUGAAGAGCUACGUAUGCUUCCAGCUUCAAAAACUAACUACAUUGGCAUAGUGUUCAGAAUUCAGAUAAUCGCAUCUGCAAAACUAUAAAUAAAAAGAGAGUGGAUUACAUAGGAACAAAACUAUGGUUUGCUGAGAUGUGUAAGUUCUAUGUAGUGUUUUUGUCAUCUUUCUUCAUCCCAUUUGUGUUUAGGGAUCUCUCCGGAAUCAGCAACCACAACUUUCUUCCUCGGUUUGCCACUAUUUCGCCUAUAAGUUACCAAACCUUAUGAAUGAAUCUACAUGUUAGCCCUGUUCGUUAGUUGAUCGCAGCGAUUGACAUGAGCGGCUGGAAAUUGUUCAUCAUUUUUUGCUUAACUUGCCGCCAGUGUUAAAACAGAGAACGCAGCGUCAAUUAUUCUGACGGAAUCCGGUGGUAUUUGUGUCGCCAAAUUAAAUAGCGUCACUGUUCCUCCUUUCUCACUCUUGGCUGCGACAUGAAAACAAGGAUUUCUUCCAUUUUUCUUCUUUCUUUCCAUUUAAGUUUUUCUUUUUUGCUUUGUAAAAUCAGUCGCUAGACGCUACCGCGGAACAGGGCUAUUAUCUAGUGUAAUGCUUUGUAAAUGCAACUUGGUAUGGAUCCUAAAGAGUAUAGUUCUUGAUCUCAUUUCCACUCCCUUCUCCGUAAAAAAACUUUUAUAACGUCUGUAAGGCGAGAGAAUGAUGUUUAUCAAUGAGACGAGAGCAUACCAGCUAGCUUUGACAGUAGCGAUAAAGAACUGUGAGCCAUUAGGGUCAGGUCCUGUAUUAGCCAUCGUCAGAGGCGGACCCAGUAAAGGAUUGGGUGUGUCAGUUGACACAGGUUAAAAGAUAAAAUUAAUGUUUUUUACAUAAAGACUGAAGGAGAAUCAUCAGUCUAGAUGUUAAACCCAAGUAAACCCAAGUUCGAUGCUCCAUAUUGCUUUUCUUAUUGUGAUCUUUUUUUAAACAAAAUAUAAUGACACAGGUUAAUUUAAUUGCUGGGUCCGCCACUGGCCAUCGUUACAGCACCUACAAUUCCACAAUUGUUAUUUUGACACAAGAAUCAUCAUCAGAUGAAUCCAUUUGCCACUUAAAAUUCAUCCGUUUAUGAUUCUUUCGAGGUUAAACCAAAAUGAAUAGCACACACGGACACACCAAUAAGCCUCACUCGCAAACUCACAAAGAGAAUUGUGAUAUGCUAAUGGGCCUAAAUCAAAAUUUAACGGGCUUUAUCUCAAACAUAUAUGUAGGGGAUACAUAUGCAUCUGCACGUUAUUUUUAUUGGCGGGAGAGCUAUGGCGAAUAUGGGCGGAGCUGGUUCUCAAAAUCCGAUUCAUCCUCUGUCUUCUUCGUCUCUCUAUCUUCUAGAAGACAACCGUUCGUCGUCCUCGUCGUCACAGAUCAAGCGGAAUCCGAAGAGAAAGCUUGAGGACUACUUGGAUCCAGCUCUUCUUCGUACGAUCUCGUCUACGAUCGGUCGAGCGGAGACGAAGAAGAUGGAGAAGAAGGAUGUCUUCGUGAGUUCGAAUCAGAAAACGGAAUU